rnacentral:rRNA from 1 species
AUACGGAGGUGGCAAGCGUUACUCGGAAUUAUUGGGUGUAAAGGGCAAGUAGGUGGCUUGGUAAGUGAGAGGUGAAAUACUCCGGCUCAAUCGGAGAACUGCCUUUCAUACUGCCUUGCUUGAGGAUGACAGGGGGAAAGGGAAUUCCAGGUGUAAGGGUGAAAUCUGUAGAUAUCUGGAAGAACACCAGCGGCGAAGGCGCUUUCCUGGGUCACUCCUGACACUAAAUUGCGAAAGCUAGGGGAGCAAACAGAAUUAGAUACUCUGGUAGUCCUAGCCGUAAACGAUGAGCACUAGAUGUCGGGCCCGUUAGGGUUCGGUGUCGCAGCUAACGCAUUAAGUGCUCCACCUGAGGACUACGGUCGCAAGGCUAA